rnacentral:lncRNA from 1 species
GGAGAGAGUCCAGGGAAGGGUAAAUCAAGAAACCAGAAGAUCUGAGGAGGCAGAUUGGGAUCUGGCAGGAGAGGGUUCUGCUGCAUGUUUUGGUCAUGACUUAGGGAAGGCACAGUCACCGAGUGAUGGAUCUGCACCAAGACUUGCCUCGGUCUUUUCUGCAUAAGAACGUGCGGAAGAAUGAUGGUUGGUGCAAGGGGAAGCCAUGGAAAGCCAUGAGUGCCUGUUCAGAAAUCCAGUGGGAAAGAUGAUUCAUGCCAUGUAGUGACACAAGGGCACAAGUGCUGCACUUCAGUCGCUCCACUGAAUUCUAUGGGAUUUUCUGUCUGCUGGAUCACUGCUCAUGUCAGGAAGACAGCGAUAGAGAAGAUGACUCUUACUAAAGCUUCAGGUAGAUGCUGUGCAUCAGACUGGUGAGCAAGAUUAAAUCUCUGAAGGCUCUGGCUGUCUCAAUCUCCAUUGAAGUUGCUGGGAUCUGAAGACACAACUUUCUUAUUACGGUGCUGUUUGCUAUAAGUGUUAAUAUGGUCAAAGGAAGACUACCCACCAAAGACUGUAAGGAACAGUAGCAAAACCUUUUUAUUUUUUACAAACGCUAAUGCUACUUGGGGACCAUUUCAUUCCCCAAGUGUACAUCUGUUUGAGCAAAGGAUUCCCAGAAACAAGCAACAAGAAUAUUGAGACCAUUGCUCAAUAACCACAGCUUUUAUUUGGCAAUAGUUAUUGAGACCUGCAAGGGUUUUCCUGGGCUCAAAACUUGUCUGUUUCUUGUAGCAAUGUUUUCUGUUGGGUCAUAUGGAUUAUUUCAUGUUAUUAGAGCUGAAUACUAGUUGUCUACCAUUUCAGAUUUGCUAGCUUUUUAUCUUGUAGCAAUGUAUUUGUAUGCUGUAAUCUAUAGCAAAAUGCCAUUGUAAUUUUAAUGUCAGGUGUACCCACUGUGAGUCUCAGGUUUGUAUCGCUAUCCAGGGAAUGUGUCUGAGCUCUUUCCUUUUUAAGCCUAGUUGAAGCAGUGCAUCCAGAUGCAUUACUUUCAAAUCUUAUUCUCAAAUGUUUUAGUGGAAAUGAUGUGUGAUCAUUUUAAUCUGGCCUUUAUGUGUUUGACCGGAACUCAGCCUACAUAUUGCCGUGAGACAAGGGAAAUUGGAUGCUUUUACUUUUACAGCCAAAGUAUUCAUAUCCUUCCAGAAAAAAAGAACUAAUCUUCUGAAGCAGCAGGUAAGUAAAAGAUUUGUGGAGAAAUGGGAAAGGACAUUUAAUAUAUUUAAUCUUAUUAUACAUUUUUCUACAUUAAAAGUCAACAGGCUGCAAAUAUAUUUUGCUACAAAGCUUUUUGUAGGAAAUAUCUCUAUAAGAAAAUACAUCUCAUUAAACAUUUCCUGUAAAUAAAUUAUCCCACAUAACUAUGUUUUGUAAGAGGAGAAGGGAGAGGGUUAGGCUAGUGAUAAGAAGAGCCAAAAAUUGCUGAGCCCAUUUCUGCAACCCCACUGCUCCAUUUGGGUUACAUUUUCUUGUACACAUAGUUGAAAUGAAGGCAACAGAGCUCCUCUGUUGAGCAUGUGCUGUCAGUGUAAAUAACACAGACAGUGUUAUUUAAAAGUACAGUUCCUGUACUUUUUUAAUAUCUUGAAAUUAUGCUAUUUCUGAACCUUAUUCCUGUUUUAGGUACACAAGAACUCCUUUGAAAUAACCAAAGUGGAGCUGGUAGGACUGAGUUUGAAGUCUGACUCAGACUGUUAAAAAACAGAAGAGCCCACCCCAGAGCAGUUCCUUAUGGCAAUUAAAAAAUAACUCCAGUAAGCAGGCACAGCCAUUGUGGAAAGCCACUGUAGCCCUUAUACUGGCCCCUGAAACAUCAUGGGACAACACAGCAAGGUUUCAAGAUACUCAGGCCUCUCAUUCAUAGACAAGAGUUUAAAAUUCUACAAUGAAGAGAAACAGAGCCAGAAGACUCCUCUCAGUCAUGGAAAACACACUCUGCAACAGAUGGAAAGAGAAUAGAGGAAAUUAAAUUACUUUGCUCUGCCAAGCCUACAUAAGAAGUCCACAUUACAGAGAUGCACCAAAUACAAGUGACUCUGCACCUUUGACAACACAAGUACAAACGAGGGCAACCACACUGACCAGUCAAAUGAAGAAGAGGGAAGAGGGGGGAGAAAGAGGAAGAUGAUUUAAUAGAUGGAGCCCUGUACUUCCCUGGCAUGAGAGCAGUUUCCUUUGAAACGACAGCAAUGCAGUGGACAUUCAACUUCUCAGAAAGCUGUAAGGUUGCUGUAACAACAGGUGUGAUAAAUACAAUUUGCACUGUUAAAAUAUUCUAUUAAUCCAUCACUGAAAUACACAAUUACUCACUAUGUUUAAUGGAGAAAAAUCUGCCUCCUCAACCUGCACAUUUUCAUCAGCUUAGAAAAAACUUCACGAAAAUGCAGGUGGUAGCAUUGACUGCUUCUGCUAUCAGCUCAGGAGGAAGGGACUCUGCCGUCAAGCAUGAGUUUGCUGAUUCUAUCUGUUGGAAACCCUGUCUUCAGACAUAGCAGAAGGACUGAGAGAUCUGAGCAGAAAAAAGAUGAUGAAUUCUGAAGGCAAAUGUAAGUAAAUUCACUGAGUUCAAAGGAUUUAUCACAGAGGCUCCCCACAAAAUUACAAGAUGUAUUUAUGAAGUUUCUAUAAACUAUGAAGAUACUCAGCCCUACACAUAAUGAUAAUUUAAGAGGAAAGUAUUUGCUCACAAGCAAAAAAACACUUCAGGAAGUAACAAAGGAAAGACAUUCCCAACCGCAAACCUUCAAUCUGAGUGAUGAAUGGCAUGAAAAUCAGAACCCUCUUUGAAAGUAUUUACUUCCCUCCGCUGACCAAAUGGUAGCAAAAUUGUUUGAAAAGUUUACCCUCACUUGUGUGUGCUACAUACUUUGUAAAUCUGUCCUGAGCCUCUUUGUCUAUUUCUCCGUUUUUUUCCAUUUCCUUUUCAUUACAGUCAUGUUUUCCAUUCACUGCAGUGAUCUCUCUGGAAUAUUUAAUGUGUAGUCCAGAAGUCUCCCUGAAUGAAAAACCCACUCUGAAGUCCAUGGGAUUAUUCACACUGAUUUCAAUGGGCACUGUCCUGGACCCUCAAGCUCAGCACAGUAUUUGCCCAACUAAUAUCUAUGUAUGCACAUCGUAACUGAAGUAAACGAGGCAACAAGAAUGCUUAUAUUGAACCAUAUAUGCUGAAGCUACUUGAUUAACUGGGUAACAAGCUGCAUUAUUUAUGACACUGAUAAGGUAUGAAUUGAUGAUAGUGAUUUAUGCUAUUGAUAAUAAAUUCCUGAUAAUUUGCCACUGUGUUUAGUACCUACCAGUGCAAUUUCCCUUCUCUGCAUUUGUCUCAUUCCUGUUUGAGCAGUUCCAUAUGGCUCCCACAGCAUCAUGGGGCAAUGAGCUGUACCAUGUGAAAUAGUAGUUCAGGCUGCCUGAUAAUUGCACACUGUCUGCUCUUGGUUCUUUUAGGAAAAGAAUGAGAGAUUGCUCCCCAUUCACCUUUUCUAUACCAUUCCUCUUCUCCCAUGGGAAUCUCUUUCCCAAACUGUGUGAUGCGUUCCAUUUGAUUUCUUCUGUGUCAAAGCAGUUCUGCUCUGAUCACUCCCACAUCUUCCCUCCCCCUUCCAAUUCUGCCUACUUUAUAGCCUAUUUAGAAAAAUGCACACAGUUACUCAAGAUGAGCAAUACAUUUAACUUAAAAAUAGUAUAAAAUGACCUUUUUUGUUCUCAGUUCCUGAUAUUCUGCUUGGAUUUUUUUUUUUUUUUUGUCUUUUUCUGUCUCCCUUUGCUGCUGCUUUGUGAUAGCUACAGUGACUCUAAUUUAGAAGUUAUCACUACAUGUGCCUAACUAUUGUCACAUUAUUCAUACAUAAUGCUGUAUACCUACAGAAAGGGAAUUUUACCCAUGGUUUUAUUUUCCAGAUGCUCAGCAUACUGGAUUUUACUGCAAGUCUUUGUGGUCCAUUUCAGUUCUUAUUGUUCUGGAUACAUUUCAUUAAAAACUUAUGUGCCUCACUAAUUCCAUUUUCCAGAUAAAUUUCCAAUAUGUUGAACAGCAUCAGCCUCCAAUGAUUUGUAUGAAACUUCACUUACAUCCUCCCUGCCUCCCUGCGUUACAAAAAGUGGCCAUUUAGACCUGCUUGUUUUUUCCUGUCCCCUUACGGCUUAUUAGGUAUUCUAAUGUGUUGUGAAAGGGGUUAUCCCUUGACAAUUCAGUUUCUUUAAAGCUUUUAUACUUGAGCUGGAGCUCUGUUCACAUAUGUAUUAGAAGAGCAGUGGCAAACUGCUUGCCAGAAACAGCAUCAAUUGAGUUUGAUCUGUCAUUAGCCUGGUAAGAGAGCUCUUUUGAAACAUUAACCUUCAUGUUAUCUUUACAAAUAUGAUUAAGGCUGAGUAUUAAGAGAGCAUUUUGGGAGGCAGACAGGAAGGAAGAAGAGAGCCUCAGCCUCACACAUGUUAGCAGGACAGCAGAGCAUUUGAGGUUUCUUCUUCUGGAAAAUAGUCAGGUGAAACAUACUGUGAAAAUCAACUUUAGAAGAAGCAAAUGUUCACAAAAUGUCUUCUUGCAGCUACAGUUUGCGUUAAUUUCCUGUCAGUGUGGUCAUUCUGGAUAGGAGGGAAUCAAAAGUAAAAGCACUGCGAAACUUUUCUAAGCUUUCCCAGCCUACAAGCACAAAGACUUCCAGUGAAAUCAACAGUCCCAGGAGCAGCUGAGCUCCCUGUCCUGCGGUAACACAGACAUGCAUUGUGUUGUAUGGCCAACAGUGCAGCGAGUCGCCCUCAGGGCUGGUCCUGUAUGUUUGUGCCACUUCAGCAGCAUGGAUCGUCCCCAGGGAAAUUCAGCCCACCACCAUCUUCAGCUCUCAUACAAGCUUGUCUUCCCUUCAGUUAAGGGGUAAAGACGCAAAUUUAAGUGCUGCAUCUCAAAAGACUUGCAUGUCAGGGAAAAAAUAAAUAAAAUUCAGAAGCAAAACAAUACACAGAAAUUGAGACCAAGUACUGACCAGUAGAGAAUACAAUACAGCCAGAAAUACAACCAGAAGGAGCACUGGAGGUUGAACCAGGGAAAGAGAGGAAAUCAAAUCCAGAAACCAAGUGUCAGUGUCAGUUGCGCAAUCUGUUUUCACAGAAUCAUCUAAAUCUGAAUUAGUGAAUUCCACUUCAGCUUUUGCUUCUACCCACCACUACAUGCACAGUAUCUGGGAAAUGAGCGAGGCACGUCUCUGGAGAACAGCAUGAGUCCGGUGCCUCCACAGGGCCGAAGUCAAUACGUUCCUGUGUCAGAUGCAUGCACCAGGGUAGCCAUCCCAGCUGCACAACACAUGAUGUGUUGACUGCUUUACAUAGGGUGGGUCAGGAAGAGGCUCAUUAAGGAGAAACUCUACAGCUCUGCUUGCAACAUCUUUGCAUCCUCAACCAGUUUUACACCAAAGCCAAAUUACAUUGCUUUCAAAAAAGGGGUUAUUCCGCACGGAGACAGAAAUCCCUAC